rnacentral:rRNA from 1 species
AAAAGAAGUAGGUAGNUUUAACCUUCGGGGGGACGCUUACCACUUUGUGGUUCAUGACUGGGGUGAAGUCGUAACAAGGUAGCGCUAGGGGAACCUGGCGCUGGAUCACCUCCUUAAACGAUGAU